UAACUGUUCUAUCUGAAAGGACAGGGAAGAAAUCCAAAAGUAAAAGUUUUGGAUUUGUGCCGAAGUUGUCUGUGGUGCCGAAAAAGCCAAUGAGAUCUUCUUGGAUUUCCAUGCAAGUGCCUCAGGCGGUCACACUGGCCAAAAGAAAACAAGAGAUGCCAUUUCUAAACGUUUCUACUGGCCUGGAAUGACUGGAGACAUAAAUAAAUGGGUAAUGUGCUGCUUGCCAGUCUGCAGGACAUAAAAUAAAGGACACCAGUGAGCAUACUCCAAUAAAGGUUUCACAACCAUUUGAGCUUGUUGGUAUGGAUCUUAUUGGAAAACUGAAAACCACAGAAAGUGGAAAUCGGUACAUCUGCGUGAUGAUAAGACUACUACACAAAAUGGACACAGGCAUAUCCGAUUACCUGUAAAACUGCAGAAGAGGUCACUAAACAAAUUCUUAAAUUUGUAUUUCAAUUUGAAGCCCCCAAAAGAAUUUUGACAAAGGCACAGAGUUUGUCAAUUCGGUAAAAUUGUAUUUCAUCAACAUUUAUUUUAAAUAUGGCGUGCAGUUUUUGACUUAUGAAUUUGUUAUGGUUGUGACAGGUAAAUAAGAAUGUCCGCGAAAAACUGGGAAUUAAAAGGAGUCUCUGUGCACCCUACCAUCCACAGACAAACGGUUUGGUAGAAAGAAUGAAUGGCACUAUCCAAAGGUAGCUGAUACUCAUUGUUACGACCCGGCUCGUUGAGCUGAA